rnacentral:rRNA from 1 species
AGAGUUUGAUCAUGGCUCAGAACGAACGCUGGCGGCGUGGAUUAGGCAUGCAAGUCGAGCGAGAACCGUUUUCUAGGCAACUAGAGACGGGGACAGCGGCGAAAGGGUGAGUAACGUAUGGAUAACCUACCCCCCUGUCGGGGAUAACUUCGGGAAACUGAAGCUAAUACCCGAUAGGCUCGGAAUCUCGCCUGGGGUUUCGAGUAAAGAUAGCCUCUCAUUGAAGCUUUCGCAGGAGGAGGGGUCCAUAUCCUAUCAGCUAGUUGGUGAGGUAAUGGCUCACCAAGGCAUUGACGGGUAGCCGACCUUAGCGGGUGACCGGCCACACUGGAACUGAGACACUGUCCAGACUCCUACGGGAGGCUGCAGUCGAGAAUCUUCCGCAAUGGGCGAAAGCCUGACGGAGCGACGCCGCGUGUGGGACUGAAGGCCUUCGGGUUGUAAACCACUGUCACAGGUUAAGAAACGUACGGGGGUGAAGAGCUUCCGUGCUUGACAAAAGCCUGAGAGGAGGCCACGGCUAACUUCGUGCCAGCAGCCGCGGUAAGACGAAGGUGGCGAGCGUUGUUCGGAAUCACUGGGCAUAAAGGGCGCGUAGGCGGUCCCUUAAGUCGGAUGUGAAAGCCCCCGGCCCAACCGGGGAACUGCGUCCGAUACUGAGGGACUUGAGGGUCGGAGAGGUGCAUGGAAUUCCUGGUGGAGCGGUGAAAUGCGUUGAUAUCAGGAGGAACACCGGAGGCGAAGGCGAUGCACUGGCCGAUCUCUGACGCUGAGGCGCGAAAGCCAGGGGAGCAAACGGGAUUAGAUACCCCGGUAGUCCACGCUGUAAACGGUGUGCACUAGGUGUGGGAGGUAUCGACCCCUUCCGUGCCGGCGCAAACGCAAUAAGUGCACCGCCUGGGGAGUACGGCCGCAAGGUUGAAACUCAAAGGAAUUGACGGGGGCCCGCACAAGCGGUGGAGGAUGUGGUUUAAUUCGAUGCAACGCGAAGAACCUUACCUGGGCUUGAACAGCCGGAUGAUCCUUUGGAAACAGAGGGUGCCCGCAAGGGCGAUCCGGCAGAGGUGCUGCAUGGCUGUCGUCAGCUCGUGUCGUGAGAUGUUGGGUUAAGUCCCGCAACGAGCGCAACCCUUGUUGUUAGUUACCAACGCGUCAUGGCGGGGACUCUAACGAGACCGCCGGUGAUAAACCGGAGGAAGGUGGGGAUGACGUCAAGUCCUCAUGGCCCUUACGUCCAGGGCUACACACGUCCUACAAUGGUCGGGACAACGGGCUGCCAAGCCGCGAGGCUGAGCCAAUCCCUAAAACCCGGUCUCAGUUCAGAUUGCAGUCUGCAACUCGACUGCAUGAAGCUGGAAUCGCUAGUAAUCGCGGAUCAGAAUGCCGCGGUGAAUACGUUCCCGGGCCUUGUACACACCGCCCGUCACACCACGAAAGUUGGUUGUUCCAGAAGUCGCUGCAGGAACCCGCAAGGGGCCGAGGCGCCGAAGGAAUGGCUAGUAAUUGGGGUGAAGUCGUAACAAGGUAGCC